GAUGAACGCUAGCGGCAGGCCUAACACAUGCAAGUCGAGGGAGAAGCCCUUUCGGGGGCAGAAACCGGCGCACGGGUGCGUAACGCGUAUGCAACCUACCUUUCACAGGGGGAUAGCCCGAAGAAAUUUGGAUUAAUACCCCAUAAUAUUAUUGGAUGGCAUCAUUUGAUAAUUAAAACUGCGGUGGUGAAAGAUGGGCAUGCGUCCUAUUAGCUAGUUGGAGUGGUAACGGCACCCCAAGGCUACGAUAGGUAGGGGUCCUGAGAGGGAGAUCCCCCACACUGGUACUGAGACAGGGACCAGACUCGUACGGGAGGCAGCAGUGAGGAAUAUUGGUCAAUGGUCGGAAGACUGAACCAGCCAUGCCGCGUGCAGGAAGAAUGCCUUAGGGGUGGUAAACUGCUUUUAUAUGGGAAGAAUAAGGCGUACGUGUACGUUGAUGACGGUACCAUAUGAAUAAGCAUCGGCUAACUCCGUG
rnacentral:rRNA from 1 species